rnacentral:rRNA from 1 species
GCAAGUCGAACGAGAACGGGUUAAAGUUUACUUUAACUGUCAGCUAAGUGGCGCACGGGUGAGUAAUAUAUAGUUAACCUGCCCCAAAGAAGAGAAUAAUUGAUGGAAACGUCUUGUAACUCUCUAUAUGCCUUUAUUACAUAAGUAAGCAAGAGAAACAUUUAUGGCUUUGGGAUGGGACUGUACGGUAUCAGAUAGUUGGUAAGGUAAUGGCUUACCAAGUCAAUGACGCCUAACUGGUUUGAGAGGAUGAUC